UUAUGAUUUGCAUCCCAUUUUCACUUCUACUAAUUAGUAACUGUUAAAUAUAAAAAAUAUAUAAAUACCAUUCUUUAACAAUUUAAGCUUUUAGAAUACAACGAUUGUUUCAUAUAGUAUUAAGUAUAAAAGUCUCAAGCCCAGACACAAGAGAGAGUAUUAAAUAUAAAAAUAUUUAAACAUUAUUCUCUAACAGUUUAAAGUUUUUAGAGUACAAUGAUUGUUUUACAGUAACAAAUGUUCUUAGUAAAAUAGUUGGCAAAAAGAUUAUUCGAAACUUUCGCUCUAGCAAAGAGUGGAAAUAAGAUUCUGAAUACAAUCCCCAUUUUUCCCAGCAAUACUAUCCAAAUAGUAUUCUAUUAAAACCGUUUCGUUCAUUAAAUAGAUAAACUUUAACUAGAGAAUAGAGGCAUCAAAGGCCUCAAAGAACCACAAUAAUAAUAAUAAUAAUAAUGGAAAAUUUGUGUACUUAAUUAAAAUUUACCCUUUUCAAUUUAAGAAAAAUAUCACCAAAAGAGACUAAAUGCUGAUAUAAUUUUAGGUAUUUUAGACUUGAAGCCAAAAAUUUUAGAAAAAGGAAAUAGGCGAUGAACUAAGGGGUGAGAUCAUUUUGGUCAACACGGAAAAAAAAAAAAAAAAUCUCGCUUGAAGGCCAAUUGAGAUGACAAUGUUUCAAAACGUUCAACGCUUUGUGAUCUAAAAACAAACAAUUAAUUGGACCCAGACAUGAACUGUCCCUCUCUAAACAUCAGUUUAAUUUGGUUGGCUCGAUCACUGGAAACUGGCGAUAAAUAAAUAUAUAGGAAUCUCAUCUAAUCUAAUCUAAAUAGAUCCUCAUCAUCACCACUAAAUUUUAUAGUAUUAUUCUAAGUAAAUGGUACAUCUAACUCAGAUCACAAUGUUAAUUAUACAUUGGAUUUAUCCAUGGUAUAUUUAAUCGAACAAGUUGUCCACAUGGUACUUCUAGGGGGAAGAGUCCCUUGAUCUUGUCUCUACUAAUGUAGCCUUAGUUUUGUGUAUAUGUAGCUCACAGCACAAUCAUUCUAGUGGUACCAGUUAAUUAAAUGAAAAAAAUAAGGUAAGAUAAUUUGAAACUUAUAAAUAUAAUUAAGUUAGUAAUUGUGUGAUAUAAUUAAUAGAGUUGAUUGACAUAUUGAAUUUGAUACCUGUAUAUUCACUAAUUAAAUUUGACUAAAUUCAAUAAAUUUGAUCUGCUUUUAUAUAAACAAGGCUCUGAUAAGUGAUAACGUAGUACUCGAUCCCCAGUUUUAAUAGUUGGAGAAUAUUUAUUUUCAUUUCUUUGUGAUUUCGCAAUACAAAUUCCCCCUCAUUUAAGUUCUCGCAUUGUUGUCAUGAUCAUAUAUAUAAAUAUAUAUAGAUUCUUCAAAAGAGAAGAAAAAUGCACAUAUAUAUAUGUCAAAGUUUCCAAAUAUCAAGAUGAUCCAUAAUUUGAUGCCAAAGGUACUAAUACUAUCAAAUGAGUCCUACAUAAAUCCAAGAAUUUUUCAAUAGCAUUGAGGUAAAUUAAUUAAGGUUUAUAUAUUUCACAUCUCAAAAUUAAUAGCUAGAAAUUCAGAAAAAUUUAGUUGAUCACUUAUUGUUUACAAAGAGACAAAUAAAUUAAUAAGAUCCAUGAAAACCUUGUCUAAAGAGGAAAAAAAAAGGAAAAAAAAAGAAUUAGUCUACACACAACAAAAAAGAGGAUGUUGAAAGUAAGAAAGGUUUCCAAUAUAAUGACAGAAGCAGGAACCAAUCCCAUUGGUUCAAAAGAAAAGAAAUGUACCACAGAUGCUUAAGAAAUGCAAGUAGACAAAACUAUAUGGCAAAUAACAUCAAAUUUAGAGUUUGACUUACAAAAAAUAAUAGUGUUUAUCGGUGGACGGUAUUUUGGCCAUAUUUAUUGAGAAUAUCUGCCGAAUUUAAUUUUGAAAUAUCAAAGAGAGUCUACUAAGGUAGCUUCAAAAGUUGACCAUGGAGGGUUUUUUUUUUUGUGUUUGGGUUGAUAUUUCGUAUAUAUAUAUAUAUAUAUAUAUAUAUAUAUAUAUAUAUAUAUAAUAUUAUGACUAAUUCAAGUGAUCUUCUAUAAAAGAGGCAACAUUUUGACUUGUUAUGAUGUGCCAGCCGGAACAGAAGGCCUACAAGUCAAAUAGCUUAAAGAAAUUGCAUCAACAAGCAUUGGGACUAGGAAACAGCCGAUCAUAUUUUCUUGCAGUGUGUAACCACAAGAUACCUUACGGCAAACACCCCGGACAAUUUUCAACUGGGGAAUCUGGGAGAUAAUGUGCAGGCGAUUUGGGAUAGAUGGACAGAUAAAAAUAGAACCCUUCCAACCUAAACAGACCGGUUCAUAGGACUUAUAACCGGCUAGUGGGUCACCUGGGACCUCCGGAAUAGAGCUAUCUUUAGGUCAACCUAGACUGACCCAACAGUAGGUGUCUACAAGAUUAAACUGUUGAUGGACCAAUGGAAGAUACUUACUCCCGACUGAACCUUUUUUCUUUUCUUUUCUUUUCUUUUCUUUUUUUUUUUAAUGUCUUCGAUCCGUUACUCGCCGAGGCCUUACUGCCUCACCCAUGUAGCUUAAUUUAUUUUCUUAUUAAAUGAAGCGGGUAACGUGCUACCCUUCUCUCAAAAAAAACAAGCACCGGGACUCAUUAAAACCAAUGAUAGUACUCGAGCGUAAAUAAUCUAAUUAGUACGAAACUUAUUAAUUGAUCUCAAUCUAGGAAGGUCAUCUUUCAUGAAAUAUGGUCUCGAUCCGUCUCUUCUGCGAACCUGCGGAAUGCGACUAACGCAGAGAAAAUAUUCAAUGCAUGUACAUUGAUCUCACAUGUAUACCGCCAUUUUGUUAAAACCGGUCCGGUCGUUGAACCAGAAAAGCAUUUGGUCUAGUAUCUCGGUUCAACCGUUGCAACCAGCUGGUAUUUCCAAAAUUAAUUUUAACUUGUUAUAUAAUGUGAGAAAGUUAGGUUUGUAGAAACUGAGCUAAUGAAAGUACCAUUUAGCAUUUGAUCAUUGAACCAGAAAAUAAUUUUAACUUUUUAUAUAAUGUGAGAAAGUUAAGUUUGAAGUAGAAACUGUUGACCAUCUUUUUUUCGGUGCGUGUUCUCCAGUUUCCUUAUGGUGAUGUUACUAGAGGAUCGAUGUUCAAUCAGGAGACUUGGGAGCAGACGUACGCCGGGUGUGGGAUAGUUGGAAAGGUCGGAAGGGGACACAACCCACGAGCAACGGAUUAAUUGGAAUUAUAGCCUGCCGGUGAGUUAUUUGUAAGACCAGAAAUGGAGCGAUUUUUAGGAUGGCUCAGACGGACCCACUAUGUGGAAUCUAUAAGAUUAAACAACUGAUAUCUCAGUGGGGGAAUCUCUGACUAGUAGAAAGACCCUGGUAAUAGUUUUUUUUUUUUUAUUUCAACACUGUCUUAUUUUUCCGCCAACCUUAAGACCUUGCUAUCUCACUCAUGUAGCUUAAUUAAUUCAUCUUCUGAAUGAAUGAAGCGGGUAACGUACUACCUUUUCCUUUAAAAAAAAAAAAAAACUUAAUCAGAUUCAAGUUCAAAUCCUAGUUGGUACCCGAGCGCAAGUGACAAAGGGUUUGAUGGUUGGUAUCUGAGGUUCAAAGUUCGAAUUCUUGUUGAUUCAUAUUUUUAGCUAAGGUUAUUUAUAAAUGAAAUAAAUGAAGCGAGUAGCAUACUACUUAUCUCUCGAAAAAACUUAAUCAGAUUCAAAACAGUCACUCCAACCUAAAAGUUAGUAAAAUAUCACUUAAUCAAAUAUUAACCAANUGAUAUUAUAUAUAUAUAUAUAUAUAUAUAUAUAUAUAUAUAGAUAGAUAUAAUAUUAUGACUAAUUCAAGUGAUCUUCUAUAAAAGAGGCAACAUUUUGACUUGUUAUCGUGUGCCAGCCGGAACAGAAGGCUUACAAGUCAAAUAGCUUAAAGAAAUUGCAUCAACAAGCACUGGGACUAGGAAACAGUCGAUCACAUUUUCUUACAGUGUGUAACCACAAGAUACCUUACGGCAAACACCCUGGACAAUUUUCAACUGGGGGAUCUGGGAGAUGAUGUGCAGGCGAUUUGGGAUAGAUGGACAAAUAAAAAUAGAACCCUUCCAAUCUAAACAGACCGAUUCAUAGGACUUAUAGCCGGCUGGUGGGUCACCUGGGACCUCCGGAAUAGAGCUAUCUUCAGGUCAACCCAGACUGACCCAACAGUAGGUGUCUACAAGAUCAAACUGUUGAUGGACCAAUGGAAGAUACUUACUCCCGACGACCUUUUUUCUUUUCUUUUCUUUUCUUUUCUUUUUUUUUUAACGUCUUCGAUCCGUUACUCGCCGAGGUCUUAUUGCCUCACCCAUGUAGCUUAAUUCAUUUUCUUAUUAAAUAAAGCGGGUAGCGUGCUACCCUUCUCUCAAAAAAAACAAGCACUGGGACUCAUUAAAACCAAUGAUAGUACUCGAGCGUAAAUAAUCUAAUUAGUACGAAACUUAUUAAUUGAUCUCAAUCUAGGAAGGUCAUCUUUCAUGAAAUAUGGUCUCGAUCCGUCUCUUCUGCGAACCUGCGGAAUGCGACUAACGCAGAGAAAAUAUUCAAUGCAUGUACAUUGAUCUCACAUGUAUUCCGCCAUUUUGUGAAAACCGGUCCGGUCGUUGAACCAGAAAAGCAUUUGGUCUAGUAUCUUGGUUCAACCAUUGCAACCAUCUGGUAUUUCCAAAAUUAAUUUUAACUUUUUAUAUAAUGUGAGAAAGUUAGGUUUGUAGAAACUGAGCUAAUGAAAGUACCAUUUAGCAUUUGAUCAUUGAACCAGAAAAUAAUUUUAACUUUUUAUAUAAUGUGAGAAAGUUAGGUUUGAAGUAGAAACUGUUGACCAUCUUUUUUUCGGUGCGUGUUCUCCAGUUUUCUUAUGGUGAUGUUACUGGAGGAUCGAUGUUCAAUCGGGAGACUUGGGAGCAGACGUACACCGGGUGUGGGAUAGUUGGAAAGGUCGGAAGGGGACACAACCCCUGAGCAACGGAUUAAUUGGAAUUAUAGCCUGCUGGUGGGUUAUUUGGGAGACCAGAAAUGGAGCGAUUUUUAGGAUGGUCUAGACGGACCCACUAUGUGGAAUCUAUAAGAUUAAACAACUGAUAUCUCAGUGGGGGAAUCUCUGACCAGUAGAGAGACCCUGGUAAUAGUUUUUUUGUAUUUAUUUCAACGCUGUCUCAUUUUUUCGCCAACCUUGAGACCUUGCUGCCUUACUCAUGUAGCUUAAUUAAUUCAUCUUCUGAAUAAAUGAAGCGGGUAACGUACUACCUUUUCCUUUAAAAAAAAAAAACUUAAUCAGAUUCAGGUUCAAAUCCUAGUUGGUACCCGAGCGCAAGUGACAAAGGGCUUAAUGGUUGGUAUCUGAGGUUCCAAGUUCGAAUUCUUGUUGAUUCAUAUUUUUAGCUAAGCUUAUUUAUAAAUGAAAUAAAUGAAGCGGGUAGCAUACUACUUAUCUCUCAAAAAAACUUAAUCAGAUUCAAAACAGUCACUCCAACCUAAAAGUUAGUUAAAUAUCACUUAAUCAAAUAUUAACAAAUCAAGUUAGUAAAGUAUUUACGCUUUAAAAAUAUAUAUUUUAAGCAUAUACUGCGAUCUAUUUUUUAUUUUAUUAUAUAUAUAUAUAUAUAUAUAUAUGUAGGGAAAUAUUUAUAUUUAUAUGUAUAUUUAUAUUUAUAUUUAUAUUUAUAUUAUAUAUGUAUAUGGUUUUUGCGACGUUUCGGUGUGUUCUCGUCGAAUGUAACGCCAUGUCGUUUUGAUUAGGCCGGGAUUAGCUGCGAGCAAUGAACAGCAAACCGCAUGGAGUGCCGCCACGUGGCGAUUUGNAACAAAGUUUGGCGGAGUAUGUACGGAGAAACUUCAAAGGAGAGCGGAGGGUGCGGCUACAACCGCUCGUAAUGACGCAGCUUGAUAACACAGCUCUCACGUUGAAACAUUUAUUAUUAUUAUUAUUAUUAUUAUUAUUAUUUUUACUCCGUCUCCUUCUUAGUUCAUCUUAUUUUAGUCUCCAAUGAGGGUGUUGACAUUUUAAAUACUUAAUUCCCCAGAUAAUGUAGAUAAGUACUUGGCUUUGGUUUCUUCUUUUUUUAAUUAAAAAAAGAGAAAAACAAGUCAAGCCCAUGAUGCUUCCCUUUAUAACAAGAUCUGGGAGAGUACAAGGCAAAUUAAGGUAACAAAAAAAAUAAAGGGCAGAAGGAGAAAGAGGGGGAGGAGACCUUGGUUUUGUUUCAUAUGGAGGUGGUGAUGAAAAAAGCUGCUUUUAAAGAGGAGAUAAAGGAUGUGGAACUGAUGGGUGAUGAAGAUAAUGGAGAGGUACCUUUUAUUUUGUUAUGUACUUCGUUUUUUUUCUAUUUUAUAGCUCUAUGUUGAUCUCUAGCUUAAUUUAUAUAGCUGUGCUAAGAAUUGAAGGCUUUAUACAUGUGUGAACAAGUGAGCUUUUUUUUCUCUUGCAUGCAAAGACUAUGAGCUUUAAGAGAUGGGCUUUUUCUAGAACAGAAACUAAAUUCUAAAUUAUCUAAUUAAUAUGGAUGGUUUAAUUAGAGCUUUUUAUGCACUAAUUAUGAACUGGGAUUGAUCAAUGAUUGGCAAAUUAAUUAAGGUCUUUGAAUCAUGUAUUUGUGAGGAAUAUUUGACUAUAAAGCAUUUGUAUAGCCUUAAUUAAAUUUUGGACUUUUCAGUUGGUGAACUACAGCGUCUUAGUUUGAAGCAUUUUUUGGUCUUUUUUGGUAGCAAUUUCUAAGAAUCCCUGUAGAUAUUUGAAGAGAAUAAUCAACCUUUCCCUUUAUAUAUUCUAUUUGGUAAUGUAUGGUUAAUUAGCUUCACAAAUAAACUAGUCAGUCUCUUGUUGCUACCUACAGUUAAGAAGAGAAAACGUAAUGAUCAAUCGAGACAUUCGAAGAUCAUCUUCCCCAGCCAACAAGGUUUUGAGCUUUAGCAAACAGGUAUAUGGAGAUACAAAAAAAUCACAUAUUUUGUUGUUCCAAAUUAAAGUUGGUAUUAAUUACAACAGCUUCCUUGUUUCUUUUUUCCUUACUGGAGAUUAGAAUAUAGCUUUUCUUUUCUUUUUUCGGGAGAUAGUACUUGCUGGAAAUUAUGUUAUAUCGACCUAGACCAUAAUAGGAGAUUGCUGUAAAGUAAUAUUAAUAAGGAACGAGAUAUCUCACAGUAAUUUCUCGUGUAUCUUAAAAAACGUUUAAACCUUGCAUGACAUACAUAUCUAUAUAUAUAUUUGGCUUUCUUAAAUUACAUGUAAAAGGAUAAAACUUGUUAAAUGUUUCUCUACUAUUUGUUAAUCUUAUUAUUGUUGUUUUUACGGUUGUUGUUGUUCUUGUUAUUUAUUGCUAGUAGCAAAAUUUGGUUUGUUCUUCACAAAAAAAAAAAAAAGGUUUAGAGAGGAGGAGAUCAUGUAUGGGAUCGAUUGGGGAACCAUUGGACAAGAAAAUUUACUCAUUAUCCAUCUAAUUUGCUCGGAUCUAUAUUUUUCUAAUAUCUCAUAUUGAUAUGCUUUCCAUAAGAUUAAUUGGGGUUACAUGGUAUAUAUUAAUCUAUUGAAUCAUGUUUUGUCAAAGAAUUCGUAAUUUCCUUUUUACACAUUAAAUAUAAGUAUUAUAGCUAGCUGAUCAAAUUAUUCUUGUGCAGGUUCCUCCUACAAUCUCAAGAGAAAGAUCGCCCAUGGACAACUCCAUAAAACCAUCUCCUGCAGAUACGAAGGUCAACUCAAUUACUCAGGUCAGGAUUGAAACUAAAAUCCGAUCACCGAAAUUGUGCGGAAAUUUAGUUAAAAUUUGCGUAGAAACUAAGAACAAACUUUUUCUUCACAUUAAUUAUAGCAUCUAGAAUACUUCUAUAUAUGUUUUCGGAACCGUCUCAAAAAUAAUUAAUUCUAAGCCACCAAUAUUCUUCCUUUCACCCUUCCAAGCUAGUAACCAGAGCAAGUUGUUAAUUCAAUUCGGUCAUGUUAAAGAAAAAUCAUACAAUUAGAAAUUAUGGAGAAAUUCAUUUAGCAUGUAGUUCAAGGCUUUUUAAAUAACAAAAGUCAUUAGAUAUUUUAACAAAAAGAACAAAUAUUAUGAAAUAAAUAUAAUGCAUAAUAUAUAUAUAUAUGAUUGUUACCUCACCGUGUUUCUCACACCUUACAAAAAUUCUAUAUUUUUGUGCUCAUAGUUGGACCGACUUGAAAUGACAAAGGCGGAAAUGGGUGAAGUGAGAGAAGAGAAUGAAAGGUUGAAGAUGAUCUUAGCAAGAAUCGUUAAGGACUACCAAUCUCUCCAUGUGCAAUUCCUAGACAUUUUCCAACAAGAUCAAGCGAAAAAGCUACCAAACGACACUUCUACCAAUCUAGAUGAUCAUAUAGAGGACCAAGAACUUGUUUCUUUGAGCCUUGGAACAAGCUCAAGUGGCCAAAAGAAAGAAGAUAAGCUAAUAAGUGUGAGUAAAAACAAAGAAUAUGAUGAACCAAAUGGAGGUGGCCUUACUCUUGGUUUGGAAUGCAAGUUUGAAGGGUCUAGUGGUGAUAAACAUGAAGUUCCCAUGACGAACGUAAGCUCCGAUAAUAGCUUUGAGGAGGCAAAAGAAGUGGAAGCUGGAGAGCCAUGGCCGCCAAGCAAGAUAUUUAAGAAUAUUCGAAGUGGAGAGGAUGAAGUGUUGCAACAACCUCAAGUUAAGAAAGCUAGGGUUUCAGUGAGAGCAAGAUGUGACGCACCAACGGUAUGUAAACAAUAUUUCAUUUAAAGUACGUGCGAAUUUAAAUUCAGAUUUCUGAUCCAAAUAGUGAAUGGAAUUUAAUGAUACGGAAUCGAGUGAGUUCAUGAUUUUUGAUAUUCAAAUUAAGACAAUAGUUGCUAUUCAAAAAAAAAAAGAUAAUCAAAUUAAGACUUGUACAUGUUCAAUUCUAUAGAUGAGUGAUGGAUGCCAAUGGAGAAAAUAUGGACAAAAGAUCGCGAAAGGAAAUCCAUGCCCGCGUGCAUACUAUCGUUGCACGGUUGCGCCUGGAUGCCCUGUGAGAAAGCAGGUAAAUGUUGAUCAUUAAUAUUGUAGUUGUUAGGAUUAAUUUACUUAUGAAAAUAGUCAUAGAAAUUUGCAGUAAAUGUCUUAAUUUCACGUUAUAUAUAUUAUUAAUUAGGAAUCUAACAAGGAAAAGUUAUUGGUUUGAUGAAUUCUGAUUUAGACUACUUUGGACAAGUAAUUCAGUUGAUUGUUCCAAUUGGUAACUGUCGUAUUUAAUUCGCAACGGUCAUUGACGCUAAUAAUGAACUACCUUUCUCCUCCUAUGGUAAAAUUAAGAUAAUUAGAAGAUCUUAUUUUUACUUUCAAACACGCAAGAAGGAACUGUAUUAGAUUUGGGAUUAUCAGCCAUACUCUCACGAUAAUUUGACGAAUUCUCAACAAGAAAAUAAUUUCCAUUUGCAGGAAAAUUUCUUCUUAAUUCAUCCUGACAUCACGUUUAGUAAACUACGUACUAAUCAAAUGGCUGCAGUCCUGGCGAUAUCAUACCUUCAAAUUUGAUCUAAUUGAUAAAAAGACGUUUUCUAGAAGUAAUAAAUUAAUGAUUAAUUUUAUUUUCUUCCUCCUUUUUUUUUUUUGUUCUUUCUUUUUCUUGCUAUGGAUUAAUUCAAUCUCAACCCUAGCUAAGCUGAGUUUCUACAUCAUUGUCAACAUCCUAGAAUAUUCUAAUCGUAAACCAUACUUCAUUUUUUCGAUGCUCCUAGUUAAAGUUAAAAAUAAAUAAAGAAAUAAAGGUUAAUUUUCUAAAAAAAUGAAUAUUUUGUUUGAUCAUUCUCAGGUGCAAAGAUGUGCACAAGACACAUCCAUACUGAUCACCACUUAUGAGGGGACCCACAACCACCCUCUUCCGAUCUCCGCCACCGCGAUGGCGUCCACGACGUCCGCCGCCGCCUCCAUGCUCAUGUCUGGCUCCUCCGCCUCCUCCCCGGCUAUCGGAUCCCACACCGCAGCCUCCGCGGCAGCCACCACCACUCUCAAUGGCCUCAAAUUCAGCUUAGCAGACCCUUCCAAGACAAACCAGUUGAUCUACUUCCCCACCCCUUCUCUCUCUUCAGCAGCUUCUCACCCUACAAUCACACUAGACCUCACUGCACCAUCAUCAUCAUCAUCUUCUUCGGCCUCCCAACCCUCCUUCUUCUCUACGUUCUCCUCUAACCCUAACCCUAGAUUCUCCCCAACAGGCUUUAACUUCUCCACCUCAGAGACUGGGAGUACCACUGCCACCUUACCACCUUCUUGGACCAGUGGAUACUUAAGCUAUGCAAGCCCACUACACAUCAAAAGCCCAAUAGGCUGUUUAAACCUGGGUAGUAAAGCCCAGGAUCUUUCUUAUCAAUCCUGCAUGCAGAAGAUCGCGAAUCCAAGCGCGGCGAGCCCGGGCCAGAAUUCGUUGACCGACACGAUCGCAAAGGCGAUCACGGCCGACCCGAGCUUCCGGUCGGCAUUGGCAACGGCGAUCACGUCUUACGUCGGAGCCCAAGGUGGGCCCGGAGAUGGUAGGGCCCAAGGGCUGAAAUGGGGUGACCAAUUGGGCUCUGGUGGACCGAUCGGGGGCAGCGGGUGCGCGUCGAGCUACUUGACUAACUCGGGCUCGCCCGCUUCGAAACCGGGCCAACAUGGGAGCCUGCUGUUGCCCCAGCCCACUUUAGGAUUUGCUAGCUCAAAGAGUAGUACUUCUGCUUCUGCUUUCCCAGUAGAAAAUAUGAAAAAUAUAAAUUGAAGAAAUUUACCUUUUUUCUGUCGGAUUUGAUUUUUGCUGUAUUAAUUCUUGUUUUUGCGUUGGGAAUUUUGGAUAGAUAUAUCCGAAGAGAGUGUUGCUUAAUUAGAGGUGGUGUUUAUACAGUGGAAAUGUAAUUUAGUGAAUGUUUGAUAUAUAAUGUGGUAUAUAAUGUGGUAGGCCAAUAAUUUUGAUUUUUGUGAAUAGGAUAAGGAUCAGAUAAAUGAGUGACUCAAAAUCAUAGACUUGAAUAAUAUCACAAAUUUUCGUAAUGUGUUACAUCAUACGAAUUGUCAAUUUCUUCUCUCUCUCUCUUUUUUAUUAUUAUUCCCUCUUUUGAUGGUGCAUGUAACAACAGUGUAAAUUUUAAGAGAACCUUCAAACGAGGGACUAAGCGCAAAAUACAACAGUAAGUGGAUUACUUUGUAAAAAGACCCAAAAGUCAACGGCUUUGUUCCCGCUCUGUACGCACCGGUGAGACUGACACUUGGCGCAAAAGCGUCGAUUUGGAUUGCGAAAUGCCGCAACGAACCUCAGCGAGAACAAUGAACUCGUCAUUAUCAGAGAACAAAAAAGAAAAAGAAAAAAACGAAUCAGAAAAUUCGUCUUCUUCUUCUUCUUCUCACCUAAAUUUCUAUUGCAUUCUGAUUCGUUCCGUCCCGAGAUUCGGUACAGUCACACCGAAAAUUCUAUAAUUUUUUUUCUUUACGCUGAUAUGCCAAUCACCUGUUUGAUUUAAUGCCUCAGUGAGCUAUGUUUUGUAGAUUUUAUUUUUCCCCCUUUUGUGUUUUUCUGGUCGUAUCUAUGUUUGUAUACAUUAUUGAGUGCGUUGUUUGUGGUCUACGGUUGUUGUGGUUACCAUAGGAUCUGCUAAAUUUGCUCUUCAAAGUUGUCCUGGUUUGAGGAAUGGUUCAAUUGAUACACCUAGUGUUUGCUAGCCCUAUUAAGCGAAAGAUUUAAGCAUGUCCAGCGUAUUGAAACGUUGGUUAGAUCCUUAGUGUGGCAUGUAUUAGAAUUUUUUUUUUUCUUUUUUUUGGGGGGGAAAGCGUGUAUCAGAUUAGAGUUGAGAAAGAGAAAUGUUAAAACUCAAAUUCCGUAUGAUUUGAUGUGUUGGCGAAUAGACUUCUCUGUUCCUAUUGUUGCAAAGAUUCUGCCGUAUUCUGUUGAAUUCAAUUGAAUAGAAUUUGAACAAAAAGACCAUAAAAAUUCUGUCACUGUACACAAACAAGGCCUUAGAAUUUUUCGUUUUCAGGAACCUUGAUCUCUAUUUUCUAAUAAAUGUAGUGAGUAUUCAUAUCAUUUGCAUGCUAUUUUUGUUAGGAAGUUAAGCACUUUCUACUGUUAUUAACAGAACUUCCUCUCUGUGGAUUGCAUUGUGGAUGAACUUCUCAUCUGCAGUAAGCAGUGUACAAGGUUUCUCCAUCUCUUAAAGAAACCGGUCAUCCUGCUAAUUAUUGCAUACAUACAUUAUGGCCCAGCAAGAUGGAGUACAAUUAAGAAUGCCAAGCUGUGAUGCUUAUUUUGACAGAAUCCAAUCUAAGAAAAAGCUGCCGCAUUCUUUGCAAGAAUCCUUGACCUCUUCAUUUGCUAGAAUUCCGGUCUCUUCUUUCCCUCUCGUUCCCUGCGGCAAAGGUAUCUCUUAUUGCUUUCACCAUUUGAUUCCUCUGGAUUGUGAGUACUAACAAAACAAAUAAGAAUUUUGCUUCUUCCCUUUAUGAAUGUCCCUCAACCAUCUUAUGGCCUAUUCGGCUCUGUUGAAGUGACGCUUGAGUCAAGUCGCUGCGUAGCUCCUCAGAGCCGUAGAAGCAGAAGCUUCAAGUUGGAGCCUUCUGUAAUGGAGCACAGAUGCUCAUUUAAGCUUUCUGCCAUAGCAAAAGCUUUAGACUAUUUGUUAUCCAUCAUAUCAGGAGGCAUUCUUCUUUUUGGAGUUGUAUAAGCCCUUUGAUCAUCUUAAAUUGUGGUUUAUGUCUUGCAAGUUUAACCCGCAUCUUAUAUGUCUCUUGAACAGUAAUUGAAAUUUCGGCAGACACGACCACUGUGGAGGCAAUCCGAGUUUUAUCUGAGCAUAACAUACUUGCUGCUCCUGUAACAAACCCACAUGAAAUCACCAGUACUGAAUGGAAAGAACAUUAUCUUGGAAUUAUAGACUACCCCGCAAUAAUUCUUUGGGUGUUGGAAAGUGCAGAGCUUGCUGCUGCCGCACUAACAGCGGGCUCAGCAACAGCUGCUGGUGUCGGUGCAGGUGCUCUUGGUGCCCUUGGUGUAGGGGCAGUGGCGAUGGGGGCAACGGGUCCGCUUGCAGUGGCCGGGCUGACGGUUGCUGCAAUUGGCGCGGCUGUUGCCGGAGGAUUAGCUGCUGAAAGCGGCAUGGCAAAAGAUGCUCCUGCUGCUGCUGAUAGUUUGGGGGAUGAUUUCUACAAAGUUCUCCUUCAGGAAGAGCCUUUCAAAUCGACGACUGUAAUUUUUUUUGCAUUUUCUUAUUUCCAGUAAAAUGAAUUUUGUUAGUUUAGUUAACCUGUUUUGUUAACCUGAGGUGACCAAUCUUCUUAACCUCAUACAGAUGGAAAAACCUGAAUAAAAUGCCAGAAAUAUAUUCCAUAUUCAAGUUACAAAUCACCAUUAAUCCCCUACAGGAACGGAACUCUAGUAUAUAGUUCAAUCACAAAUAGGGUAUAUCCCUGUUUACUGAAAAAAAGUAUAUAGUUGUACUUGUCCAUUUGCCGUAGUACUAAUUGAAUAGGAAGGCUACACAUCAGAGUGUUGUUGUUCUAAAACAGCAAAAAUUUGAGAACUCUGAUAGUCCUUUUGCAGCAAAAGCUUCUCCCCCUUUGGAAGAGAGUUUCAAAAGGCCAUCUGUAUAUUUUGUUCAUGUUUCAUAUUUCUCAUUUCAACCUAUUAUUACAGGUAAAAUCAAUUCUCCAGUCAUUCCACUCAGCACCUUUCAUCCCUGUUGCUCAAGACAGUUCCAUGCUAACUGUUUUGCUGUUACUCUCAAAGUAUAGAUUGAAGAAUGUCCCUGUGAUUGAAGAUGGAAAGCCUUAUGUUAAGAAUUUUAUCACCCAAUCAGCAGUUGUGCAAGGCCUGAAUAAAUGCAAGGGAUGCAACUGGUUCGAUUUCAUCGCUGCGCGUCCUCUUUCAGAUUUUGGACUUCCUUUUAUGUCAUGCGAUGAGGUUAUUUCUCAAUUGCAAUUGUUCACUGUAGACCAUAUAGUUAUGUUAACCUUUUUUUACCGCAACAUCAUAUCCAUUAACUUUGUAUCUCUUCACUUGUGUACUUUCUUCAAAAAAGAUAACAGAACAUCAGUGCAUAACUCAUUUGCUAGUGGCAAUUUUUUUCUUUUCAAUUAAAAUGUUGUGGUGAUCUCUGUCUGAGCAUUGAGUUUAUCCAUCACGUAUUAUCAAUCUACUCCAAUUACAAGAAAUAUAGGAAAUUAUCACAUGCUGGGUUUUAUGGUCAGGUUAUUAGUAUCAAGAGUGAUGAGUUAAUCCUCGAGGCUUUCAAGCGCAUGAAGGACAACCAAAUAGGAGGACUUCCGGUUACAGAGGGUACCACAAAAAAAUUAGUAGGUAGUGUGAGCAUAAGAGACAUCAGAUUUCUGCUGCUUAAGCCAAGGCUCUUCUCUGAUUUCAGGUCACUUCGAUGGCUUUUGCUAUAUAGAAUUCUAUUGUUUAGUUCAGUAAAGUUGCAUUAUUUCUUUCAAAUAGAAAAUUAUGCUGCAAAAUUUAUAACACUCUUUCCCCGUGAUACGAGUCUAAAAGUUCUCAAUGAUCGGUGAGCCUGCUUGGAAGUAAUUGUGUGUUAUGGUGAUCCAAUUGAAGAUUUGGUGUUGGUUACCAUUUUAUUUUGAACUUUUAUGUGAUAGCUGAUAGAUUUUUCUUUUGUUUCCUUUUAGUUUUGUCUUAUAGUUCUCUUCUCUGAUUUCAGGCAUCUAACAGUGUUGGAUUUCAUAAAGACCAUAACCUCAGCAGAAACAGAAUUGGCAAACACAAUGGCAAAUCCAGCUACAUGUGCACCUACUACUUGCCUGGGGAGUGUCAUAGAGAGUUUGGCGUCGAGAUCUGCUCACCGGAUUUACGUAGUAGAGGGCACUGACCAAGAAAUUGUUGGUGUUGUGACAUUAAGAGAUGUAAUCUCUUGCUUCGUCUAUGAACCAUCCGAUCACUUCAACGACUACUUUAAAUAUAAAACGAAGGAGGCACUGAAUUGGUGAGAUUGCAUUUGUAUCGAAGAUGAAGGAAUAAAAUAUCAGCUGAGGAAAAUGCAGGCAAUGUCACUUGACCAACUGCUUCUAUAUAUAUUUAUCUUGUUUUUAGUUUUUUCCUCAGUUAUUUUCAGAAAAUAACUUCAGCUUUUUGGCAUUCUUAUUAAGCUCAUGGAAUAACUUCUUCUAUUUAUAGAAGACAAUAUUCGUUCACUAUCGAAAAUGUUUGUUCAGCUGAGAAGUCAAGUUUGUAGUCCUGACCUUUCCUCGAAAAAGCAGCAGCUAUAUAUCACAAAUUUCGAAUGAAAAAAAAAAAUCAAUAUGCAUUCAUCAAACAUUGUGAAACUCUUGUUGAACUAUACUUGAUAAAGUUCCACAUCAAUGCAGCUAUAUCACGCAUCUGAAUUUGACUGAAGAAUAGCUAAUUCAGAGUCCUCGGUCUACUUCGAGCCUCGUUUGGGUUUUUAGUUCUAAGAAACUUACCUUUUGCUUCAUUGAGCUCCUUGGCAACUUCCGUCAUCUCCAAUCGAUCUUUCGGUGGUGCACUUGAGCAAAUAAGCCCAUAUUUGAUCACUGAAACUAAGCAAUCUCGCACACUCUCUUCCUGAUAAAUUAUUCUAUCAUCGUCUUCCUUGAUGUUUAUAUUAUCUUCUACCGAGAACAUUCUGUUGUCUACUAUGUCCAUGACUUGUUCAGGAAAAGCCAUUUGAGCAUACAUAUGAAGGCUUAAGCCUUCUUUAAACUUGUUGUCGAUAGGGCUUAUUCCAGUAAACAAUUCUAGCAGGAGAAUACCAUAGCUAUAUACAUCUCCUAGUAUAGAUGCUUGACCGCCCAUUCCAUACUCUGCCAAAUAUUUGGUUAAAACUGUUAGUAUUCAUAGAUAGACAUUGUAGCCCAGGACAAAAGGCACAUUCGUAUGUUUCGGAGAUGUGGUAAUGUUGUAUAUACUGAAUACUUGGUAGUGUUUCAGAUAUUAGUCAAAUUAAUUGUAAAUUGUUAAUUCUGAAAUUAUUUUGAAUUUCAUGGCUAAUAUGCAAUCUCCUUUUUCUUUUAUUUUUCUCCCCCUCUUUUCUACUAAUUAAUACACUAUAGUCAUCUUCAAUUCAACAAUAUUCUCAAAAUUCAGCAGUGAACAUGGAGCACCAUCACAUUUAUUAUAGAUAUCCUAAGAAGUUCACAUAUCCAGCAACAAUUUCAUCACAAAUGAAAAUCAUAUUUUGCUGAUAUAUCAUAAAUUAUAGCAUAAAUUAGGGUUUUGUGAGAGUUCUCACCCGGAGGAAUAUAGCCGAUGGAUCCCUUGAUUCCUGUUGUGCUAAUUGACUGUUGAGAUGAUUCAUCUUGGUAUUGCACGAGAAACUUCGCCAGCCCAAAAUCCCCAACAUGUGCCGUCAUGUCAUCGUCCAAAAGAACAUUGCUAGGCUUAAGAUCACAAUGAACAAUUGGUGUUGACCCAUGGUGAUGAAGAUAUUCCAAUGCGGAUGCUAUGUCGAUGGCAAUGUUCAACCUUUGGAUAAGGCUUAGACUUCUGAAUGGUCUAUUCUUGCAUGCAUUUGGAUGCAGCCACUCUUCUAAAUUACCAUUAGGCAUGUAAGCAUAGACUAGUGCCUUAAAAUCAUUGCCUUGGUGGUCUAGACUAGAGCAAGAAGUUAAAACUUUGACGAGAUUUCGGUGUCGGAUGCUUCUUAGGGCUUCGCAUUCAGAAGUAAAGCUCUUGGAAGCCCCAUGCUGCUGAAGGUUCAGCACUUUUACAGCAACAAUGGUGGCAUUUUCAUGCUUCAUAUCUCCUUUAUACACCGAUCCAAAACUACCUGUGCCUAUUAGAUUAGUUGAAGAGAACCCAUUAGUAGCUCUGAAAAGCCCAUCAUAAGAUACUCUCACGAACGGAUCUUUGAAGGAAAACAUUGAUAAUGGUUUCAUUCGGGAGUGUAUUAUCCAUUUACGGCUCCCAACUAAGCAAAAGAAUAUAGUUAAAAAUAGAAUUACGCCACCUAUAGGAAUGAGAAUUGCCUUAAGUUCGUGAGAGUGAUGUUUAUUGGCAGAGGCAUUUGAUGUGCAGUUUGGUAAGUGUAGCUCAGGAAUUCCACCACAGAGCUUCCUGUUUCCGCUGAGGGAGACUGCACUCACAUUCUUGAAAACACCUGUAAUUGGUACCUGGCCCUCAAAAUUAUUGUAAGAGAGAUUCAAGUAUUGUAGAUCGGGGAACUCAUCAAGGAAUUCUGGUAUUUGGCCUGACAAUAAGUUACUCGCGAGAUCGAGUUCUUGAAGUCCUCGUAAGUUACUGAAGGUGGAAGGAAUCGGUCCUUGAAAAAAGUUCCCUUCCAUGUAAAGGCUUUCCAAUGUCUGGCAUUCGCCAAUGGUGCUUGGAAUUUCACCAGAUAGCUUGUUAUUUGAGAGAUCGACCUCCCUAAUAUUUAUCAAACUGCCAACUUCCAAUGGUAAUGAGUCGUUUAGAAGAUUAUGCGACAAGUCGAGAAAACUUGAGAGCGACGAAAGGCUCAUUACUUCUUUUGGAAUGCUGCCACUUAGCUUGUUAUUUGAAAGAUUCAACAACUCUAAUAUUGCCAUGUCGCCUAACGUUGGCGGAAUGGUUCCUUCUAACUCAUUGAUAUAGAGAUAAAGCCUGUUCAUUUCUGUGAGGUUUCCUAAGGUCGGAGGAAUUUCACCUGAAAUCAUGUUAUUCGACAGAUCCAAGAGCUGCAAGUUCCUGAUUUGCCCAAUUUCUGCAGGAAUUGUGCCUCGAAGAAGGUUUGCACUCAUAUCAAGGAAAGUUAGAUUGAUGAACUUCCCAAUCUCAGUAGGCACACUUCCUGAUAUUUGGUUAUUAUCAAGAGCUAGAAUGUCGAGCCCCGUCGAAAGGUUAACUAUUGAGGUCGGUAUCAUGCCUUGAAGAAGAUUAUGUCCUAUAUCCAAUACUUGGAGAUUGGUGCAAUUGCUUAGUGAAGCGAUGAAAUUCCAGUCACUAGGCUUAUUAGCUUCUAGUUGAUUAUUGGAGAUAUCAAGCCAAUAUAGACUCUGCAAGAUUCCGAAGCUUGAGGGUAUCGUGCCGGUGAAGCUGUUGAAUCCUAGCUCAACAUCUCCAAGCUCAGAAGCAUUGGACAAAGAAGCCGGAACUCGUCCCUCAAGUAGAUUAUCAUACAUGAGAAGGACUUGAAGGUUUGGGAAAACAUUUCCGAUGUCUAAAGGAAGAGUUCCCUCUAGCUGAUUACUGUUUAUUGCUAAGCUCACCAUGGAUGAGAGAUUGUAGAGUGAGGAUGGUAUCUUUCCUGAUAGGUUAUUCAACGCGAGGUCGAGAUAUACGAGAGACGAAAGUUGGCCUAAUGAACUCGGAAUCUCUCCAGAUAGAUUGUUCUCGGAGCAGUCCAAAUGAAUGAGAAGUAGAAGUGCCCCGAAAUAAGAAGGAAUCAGGCCGUAAAAAUUGUUUCUUGCGACAGAAAGGCCGUUCAACGAGGAGAGAUUGGAAAGAGAAGACGGAAUGGUUCCCGUAAGACUAUUGUACGAAACAUCGAGGGUUUGUAAAGGAAGGCUCCCUAAGGAUGGAGGAAUAAGUCCUGAUAGAUUGUUAUUAUAAACAGCGAAAUAGAGUAGCGAAGAGAGGUUUCCGACUGAACUUGGGAUGGACCCGGUUAAGCUAUUGAAAGGAAGAUCAAGUAUUAAUAGUUUACCAAGGUUGCCCAGAGUGGUAGGGAUGAUUCCGGUAAGAUUAUUGUAGCCUAAUACCAGUUGAGUUAGAUUUCGAAGAGAACCGAGCUUGCUAGGGAUCUCUCCUUCAAUAAAGUUAUUCCUUAGAUCGAUCACGCGAAGUUGCAAACAUUGGCUGAGAUUGGAAGGGAUUAAUCCUUGUAGCAUGUUACUUCGCAAUGUGAGUACCUGAAGACUAGAAAGAAGUGACAGAGUUGAUGGGAUCUCACCUGUGAGCUUGUUGCUCCUCAAACUAAUGACUUGUAAAUUGGAGCAAUUUCCAAGGGAAGGCGGAAUAGUCCCAUAAAGAGAAUUCACGCUCAAGUUGAGGUACUGAAGCCGGUGCAAUCGACCGAGCUCUUUAGGAACGAGUCCGGCGAAUCGGUUGCCCGAAAGGCUGAUCCUUUGGAGGAAGGUGAGGUUGGCUAAGGAGGGCGAGAUAGGACCAGCUAGGAGAAGAGAGUCGAGUUCGAGGGCCGCGACUCGUUCUGGAUGGCGGCGGCUGCAGGAGACGCCGCGCCAUUUGCAAUAACGGAGAGAGUCAUUCCACGAAGAGAGCGCUUUAUAAGGAUCGUCGGUUACGAGUGACUUAAAGGACAGGAGCGAGGACCGAUCGGCUGCAGUAUGUUCAAAAUCAGAGGAGGCGGAGUUGGUUGAGAUCACAUAGAGCAGAUUGAUGAGGAAGACAAGAUAGAACCCUUCCAUUUCCGUCGACCGGAGAAUGAAGUGAUUGUAGUUCUUAAUUUGCUGUUUUUCAGAACUGGAGUCAGAAGUUUUACUCCGACAAGAAAAGUGGUGGUUGAAGAAGCUCUGCUUAGCUUAAAAGUCUUGCAGUCUUACAUUGAACGGUCUAGCACUUAAUUUCUGAAUUGAAAGGACAAGAAUUUGUCGUAAUUGUAAACUCUCUUCAUGGGUGUUUCUACUGCCCAAUGAUAUGUAAUUUCCAGCUUUUUGUUGCUGUAAUUGGCGCGCACAGCUGGGGAUAGAGGUCAUUUUUCUUUGCCUACCAAGGAAUUUUUCCCCUUUUCUAACAUCUUAUUACUGGAGUUGGUGGGUCAGUUAUGCAAAUCAAGCAAUUCUGACAUAGAUAUGAUGACAGCAACUUAAUUGAGUUCCCACUUGAAACUUGCAGCUUGCAAGCAGCAUUCAAAGGUCAUAAAUUAGCAAUUAAAUAUUGAAGCAAGUUGCAAUGAGCUGUAAUCUGGGAGUGCAGACGACUGCUUUCAUACUUCAGAGACCCAAAAAUAAACUUGAAGCAUCUACUUUUGAAAUUUAGAGGCCCAAAAUUGUGGAUAAUGGCAGUUGACAACAGAUAAUAAAUGUUGGCUCUGCAAUAGAUUUUUUUUUUGGGUAAAUUUUGCUCCACCAUUCUCUGAACAUAUUUGAUGUCCUAAACUUUAGCUUAAAACAAGCACGCAUUCCAUUGAAUUCGCAUGAAUGUACACACAUCCACAUACAGCACGCCGUGCCGAUUCUCGUCUCUACAGCUCAUUUUUAACAAGUUUUUCGCUCUUGCAGUGCGAUUAGAAACGAAUCGAACAUCACAACUUCAAAAAAGCGAGCAAUUGUUGUGAGAAAUCAACGUCGGGUACAUCCUGCAGUGAGAGUCAUGAUCGCAGAUGACGAAUCCGGGUGUGAGAUGGUUGUGCACCCCUUCGUAGGUGGUGAUCACGUAGCUCGGGUCGUCGCGGUCCCUUUCGACUCUCUUCUUCACUCCGCAGCCGCUGCUCGAACACUUGUAAUAAUUCCUGCAGUUUGAUUUGCAAAUCCUGGUUAAGUUCCUUGUUUUUUUUUUUUGGGGGGGGGGUUCAUAAUUAAACUUGUAUGCUUAAUUAUGAAAACAAUAAGAAAGAAAAAACUAUCUCACUAGUUGCAUUUGGUGCACACAAUUAAUUACCUUGGAUUGGGGCUGUUUUUAACUGAUUUUUUCCCAUACUUCCUCCAUUUGAAUCCAUCAUCCAAAAUCUCUACCUCUGAUCUUGUUCUGAACCCAAUCCUGCUCCCAAUUUCCACCCCCAUCCCCUUCAUCUCAUCCCCACAGUUCCUGCAUAUGGUAAAGAACUUAAUUAACCACCAAGAAAGGGAUAUAAUGCGUCUACGAAGAGAGAAAAUUACAAAGUAGGUCUUUUGACUCCUCUAAAAAUUUGUUCUACAUAAUCAUAAUUAACUCAUUUGAUUCACUGGACGAAAAAGUGUCACGUUUGCACCAUUAUUGGAAUGUUAAUUCUGAAAGCGAGACUGAAAUCGAGAUCAAACAGUAGCAGUGAAAAUGAAAUCUGCACAUAAUUUCUAAGUUUAAACUGAAAGUCUGACUGAAACCGACUUUCCGAACGAAAUUGUUACAAUUGAAACUACGUCGAGAACGAAAUCGAAAUUGGAUCAAACUUCAAAAAAUCAAACUUUCACAUAAACUCAACUAGUUUUCGAGAGAAGCAGCAGGUCUAAUUGAGAAAGCUGCAAAAAAAAAAGAAAGAAAAAAACAUGAUAGCAAGCAUACAUUAUCAUAUCAGCUGUUGGGCUGCAAUCACCACCAGCAAGAGGCUCUUCCGGGCCGUGCGCGGCCGUCGGCGAAGCGAACUGCUCGUAGUAGCCUUCGUCGAAAGCGGCAAAGUCGGCGGCACCGUGCGAAUUCUCGGAGGCGGCGUUGGCGGGGAAAAACUCACAGCUUGGUAACACAUUGGGAGUGUAUUCUCCAUACAACACAGAAGAGUGAGAGAACGACAUAUCUCGCUAUGGCCCAACUAAAGAUGCUUAUAGGACAUAUAUAUAGCUUGAGUAAAUACACAUGGUGUCACGUACCAUAUAUAACACACACACACACACACACACACGCAAACACAUACACAUACACAUGACACACAUACGCUAACUACAAAGAGAGAGAGGGACAUAUUUCUAACGAUCUUUCCCAGGGGAUGGCGCGAAGGUUCGCGGAUGGUGUCACGUGUCAAGUCGCUUUUGAUGUGAGGUCUCACCGUGAGUCGCAAUCGUCCAUGCCAAAAGUGGGCCCUACUUGAGAAAUCAAGAGUCAAAGUGUCACUUAAAUUGACCGCCAUAAUAAUAAUAAUCAUCAUCGUUAAUCCAUACAAAUCAUCAUCAUAUCCGAAAAGCUUCUUUAUUUAUAAAUACAGUUUAUUUUCCCAACUAAAAAUAAUUAUUGCUUUUAAGGUAGCUGCUUGUUACUCGAUUUGCAAAUUCUCCAGGAAAAAAAUAAAUAGGGUAAACUUCAAAUAUCCCUCUGUGAUUUUACAUUUUCUCACUUUAAUACCUCGUGGUUUAAAGUGUAUCAAGUUAGCCUCCGUAGUUUCAUACUUUCUCACAUUAGCACCUGAUGGUUUAAAGUAUAUCAAGCUAGUACUUUGUGGUUUUAUUUUUUCUCUUUUUAUUAUCUAUUUUAUUAAUUUUUUUCGUUAAAUCAGUGACAAAGUUAAAAUUAAAAGGUACUAAAAUAAAUAUUCAAUAAACCUAGGUAGGGUAUCUGAAAUUUUUGUAUAUAAUUUAACGAAAUAUUAACAGAGGAGUCAACGAAAAGAGAAAAAUGAAACCAAAAGGUACUAAUUUAAACUACAUGGUACUAAAGUGAGAAAGUGUGAAACCACAUGGUGCAAAAUUGAUGCAUUUAAAUCACAGAAUACUAAAGUAAAAAAGUGCGAAACUACAAGAGUAAAAUUUAAAGUUUUCUCAAAUAAUAUGACAAUUCAGUUAGUGAUAACUAUAGCGUUAGUAUCAUAUCGCUCUUGAUUAAACUUCUAAUCUGAGAUGCUUUUUACUUU
rnacentral:lncRNA from 1 species